AUACUCUGGUUUUUCUCUUCAGAUUAUAUAAAUCUUUCACCUUUUACUUAAGAUUUCCAUGGAGAGGAACAACUCUGAGUCUUUAACCAAUUUUUUGAGGCCUUGCAUUUGCAAGGCU
ensembl:snRNA U5 U5 spliceosomal RNA